rnacentral:rRNA from 1 species
UACGGAGGGAGCUAGCGUUGUUCGGAAUUACUGGGCGUAAAGCGCACGUAGGCGGCGAUUCAAGUCAGAGGUGAAAGCCCGGGGCUCAACCCCGGAACUGCCUUUGAAACUAGAUUGCUAGAAUCCUGGAGAGGUGAGUGGAAUUCCGAGUGUAGAGGUGAAAUUCGUAGAUAUUCGGAAGAACACCAGUGGCGGAGGCGACUCACUGGACAGGUAUUGACGCUGAGGUGCGAAAGCGUGGGGAGCAAACAGG